ACAACCAAAGCCAGGUAUGGUAGCACACACCUGUAACGCCAGCACUUUGGAGACUGAAGUAGAAGAAUCAGCACAAGUUCAAGGCCAGCUGGGACGUUUCCUUCUGUAUGUAUUUGGGCCACCGUGAAAGAUCAAUAUGAAUUAUAUGUUACAAAAUCCAUACAAAUGCAAGAAGAGUACCUUAUAAGUAUACCACAUUAAAAAGCAAGAGUUAUACACAACAGCAAACAUCCUUCUGUUGAA